rnacentral:rRNA from 1 species
UACGAAGGGUGCAAGCGUUACUCGGAAUUACUGGGCGUAAAGCGUGCGUAGGCGGUUUGUUAAGUCUGUCGUGAAAGCCCUGGGCUCAACCUGGGAAUUGCGAUGGAUACUGGCAAGCUAGAGUACGGUAGAGGAUGGUGGAAUUCCCGGUGUAGCGGUGAAAUGCGUAGAGAUCGGGAGGAACACCCGUGGCGAAGGCGGCCAUCUGGACCAGUACUGACGCUGAGGCACGAAAGCGUGGGGAGCAAACAGA